AUCAUAGUUUAUUCAUUUUUAUUAGUCACAAUUCUUUAGUAGUUGAUCAUAAUAGCUCUUCAUUCCAUGCCACCUUCUUGCAUCACCACCACAUCUUCCCAAUCGCUCUUCAUCUAACUCAUUUCAUCCCACCAUCGCUACAGCGCUACCAUCCACAUCCACACCACUAUUUCAAACCAUCACCAAUGUUUCCAUCAAAGCAUGUCGGCACUAUCCACGACUCCUCGUCUUCCUCCGCAACUGUAAAAGGUCUAAUUAUUUCUAUUAAUUUCCAAAACCUGAUUGUAAAAAAGAUAGCCAAAUAGUAAUCCAAUCUACCAAUUUUAUUCUGAUCCAAACAAUCUAACCAAACAAUAAUAAUACUACUUCCUUCGUCUGUCAUUUCUCCAUAUUCAUCCUUGCAUCCGUGCUUAUUUCUCUUUGUCACUUAUAUUUCUAGGUUUGAUGCCCACAUUACUUAAGUAUUACUCGUUUUAAUAAAUCUUCUGAACCACAAAAAAAAAAAAAAAAAAAAAUCAAUUCGACAAUGUAAAUUAAUUCAAUGAAUCAAUUCACCUUAAAUCUAUAAACGAAUAAUUUGAAAAAAGCCAUACAGACCUAUAUAUCAAAUAGGUAUUGAUGUCCUAUCUUUCUGUCAUUCCCGAGUCUCUGCCCGACGAUUCCAAAUGACCUUCCCAUGUCGUUUCACUGUUGUUAUGCUCGAGAUUGUUCCUCGGGGAAUGCAUGUGCUCGAGGAUGUGCAAUCAUGCAGUGACAACAUUCUGCGAUUGACAUCCUCGGGAUAUGUUGUCCUUGGGUAGGGUAGCUCCUCAACGACCUACGAUAGUUGCUGUUGACUCAUUAGGAUUCCUAUGUGCUUGGGACUUUAACCUUAUCCAGCUACGCCAACACUUGACUCCCACAAAGAUUCUAUCUCAGAUACGUCACUACAAUGCUUUACAAUUGUAGUAUCAGUCCAACUCCCUUACCUAAUAGAACUCUAUUGGAUAAGAACAUCCAUCCAGUUCAAAUCCUACUAGGGUUAUACUACCUACCUAUAAAUACAAAGCAUUGGAUCAUUGUCCA
rnacentral:lncRNA from 1 species